UAUUAAGUGCAAGAAACUAUUUAAUUUAAGUAAAUAGAAAAUAUAAUUUUACAUUAUAAAGUGAUUGAACAAUUAUGUAUUUGUUGCAUUAAAAGAAGAAAAAAUAUGGCUAAUGUUAUCAAGUUUAUUUAUACUAUGAUCUUGUUUGUUUCUUUAAUUCUUGCUGUAACCAACGGCGAUCCUUCUUGUACUCACGACUACGAUUGUCCAUUUAUUGAAUGCCCCACUCAUCAUAUGAAGUGCAUUUGUAAUAGGUGUUAUUGCGACUAGCCUUAUGGUGAAGUUUAAAAAUAAUUCUAUGCAUAAGCAUAUCGAUUUAUAUCAUGUAGAUGUAUUUGGCGCUCAAGCAUUGUCGCCAAAAAAAAUAUUCAUUAUAUCAUGCAAAUGUUGUUGUAUAUAUAAAUUUGUUCUCUUUUAAAGAUAUGGAGAACAAUUGUUACCUAAUUAUAA